rnacentral:rRNA from 1 species
AACGAACGCUGGCGGCAUGCCUAACACAUGCAAGUCGAACGAGACCUUCGGGUCUAGUGGCGCACGGGUGCGUAACGCGUGGGAACCUGCCCUUAGGUUCGGAAUAACUCCCCGAAAGGGGUGCUAAUACCGGAUAAUGUCUUCGGACCAAAGAUUUAUCGCCUUUGGAUGGGCCCGCGUUGGAUUAGCUAGUUGGUAGGGUAAAAGCCUACCAAGGCGACGAUCCAUAGCUGGUCUGAGAGGAUGAUCAGCCACACUGGGACUGAGACACGGCCCAGACUCCUAGGGGAGGAAGCAGGGGGGAAUAUGGGACAAUGGGCGAAAGCCUGAUCGAGCAAGGCCGGGUGAGGGAUGAAGGCCUUAGGGUGGUAAACCGUUUUUACCCGGGAUGAAAAUGACGGUACCGGAAGAAUAAGCCCCGGCUAACUCCGUG